CUUCAGCCUGCAGGUGGAGAAUGUGUCCGUCUGCCGUCUCCUCCACCUUCACCUCCAUGAUGCCGUUCUGCAGGAGACAGUUAUGCUAUCCUGAACACUGUUUCCUGCUCUGAGACGUCUCUUCAGGGCCAGAUCUUUGUGUCAGUGGGUUGAAUUACCACAGUCAGUUUCCAGUGACCAGGAAAGGGAGUUUUGCAUUGUGAACGUGAGAAAGGCCCAUGUGUUCAUGAUGGAUGACUAAACUGUGAUUGGUUAUAAAAUGGGUUAAAAAUACUUCAGACGAUGUUCAGAGCAA